rnacentral:rRNA from 1 species
CCUACGGGAGGCAGCAGUGGGGAAUUUUGGACAAUGGGCGAAAGCCUGAUCCAGCAAUGCCGCGUGAGUGAAGAAGGCCUUCGGGUUGUAAAGCUCUUUUGUCAGGGAAGAAACGGUGUGGGCUAAUAUCCCGCACUAAUGACGGUACCUGAAGAAUAAGCACCGGCUAGCUACGUGCCAGCAGCCGCGGUAAUACGUAGGGUGCAAGCGUUAAUCGGAAUUACUGGGCGUAAAGCGUGCGCAGGCGGUUUUGUAAGUUUGUCGUGAAAGCCCCGGGCUCAACCUGGGAAUUGCGAUGAAGACUGCAAGGCUUGAAUCUGGCAGAGGGGGGUAGAAUUCCACGUGUAGCAGUGAAAUGCGUAGAGAUGUGGAGGAACACCGAUGGCGAAGGCAGCCCCCUGGGUCAAGAUUGACGCUCAUGCACGAAAGCGUGGGGAGCAAACAGGAUUAGAUACCCUGGUAGUCCACGCCCUAAACGAUGUCUACUAGUUGUCGGGUUUUAAUUAACUUGGUAACGCAGCUAACGCGUGAAGUAGACCGCCUGGGGAGUACGGUCGCAAGAUUAAAACUUAAAUGAAUUGACGG